GCAAGUCGAACGCGUCUCCGUUAAUGAUUUUAGGUGCUUGCAUUUGAAAGAUUUAACAUUGAGACGAGUGGCGAACUGGUGAGUAACACGUGGGUAACCUGCCCUUGAAGUAGGGGAUAACACUUGGAAACAGGUGCUAAUACCGUAUAACAACCAAAACCACCUGGUUUUGGUUUAAAAGACGGCUUCGGCUGUCACUUUAGGAUGGACCCGCGGCGUAUUAGCUUGUUGGUAAGGUAACGGCCUACCAAGGCGAUGAUACGUAGCCGACCUGAGAGGGUAAUCGGCCACAUUGGGACUGAGACACGGCCCAAACUCCUACGGGAGGCAGCAGUAGGGAAUCUUCCACAAUGGACGAAAGUCUGAUGGAGCAACGCCGCGUGAGUGAUGAAGGGUUUCGGCUCGUAAAACUCUGUUGUUGGAGAAGAACAGGUGUCAGAGUAACUGUUGACAUCUUGACGGUAUCCAACCAGAAAGCCACGGCUAACUACGUGCCAGCAGCCGCGGUAAUACGUAGGUGGCAAGCGUUGUCCGGAUUUAUUGGGCGUAAAGCGAGCGCAGGCGGUUUUUUAGGUCUGAUGUGAAAGCCUUCGGCUUAACCGGAGAAGUGCAUCGGAAACCGGGAGACUUGAGUGCAGAAGAGGACAGUGGAACUCCAUGUGUAGCGGUGAAAUGCGUAGAUAUAUGGAAGAACACCAGUGGCGAAGGCGGCUGUCUGGUCUGUAACUGACGCUGAGGCUCGAAAGCAUGGGUAGCGAACAGGAUUAGAUACCCUGGUAGUCCAUGCCAUAAACGAUGAGUGCUAAGUGUUGGAGGGUUUCCGCCCUUCAGUGCUGCAGCUAACGCAUUAAGCACUCCGCCUGGGGAGUACGACCGCAAGGUUGAAACUCAAAGGAAUUGACGGGGG
rnacentral:rRNA from 1 species